AAACUGAAGAGUUUGAUCAUGGCUCAGAUUGAACGCUGGCGGUAUGCUUAACACAUGCAAGUCGAACGGUAGCAGCUCUUCGGAGGCUGACGAGUGGCGGACGGGUGAGUAACGCGUAGGAAUCUGCC
rnacentral:rRNA from 1 species